GCCCCGCCGCGCCUCGGCGUGCCCGGCCCCUGCCGAGCCCUUAGAGUGCAAAGCUUGGCCUGGAGCACCGGCUGGGCUGUUGCUUCUAGUGACCGUGUUACGAGUGCUAGUACUCCACGCUGACGGUAGAAGUAAGAACUACUCCAGGGGAAAGAGAGUCUGGGAAGUAGCCGUCCAGGAGAAGAAAGUCUGUCUUCUGGCAGGAGAGGAGCUACAGCCCAUGGGAUACAACUGAUGAGAGGGAUGAAGGAAGGAACCAGCCUGGGGGAAAACCACAGGACUCUGGGGAGAAUACGGAACAAACCAUGUGAUACAACGUAAACCAUUCAGAAAGCUCCACUGAGUUAGGCUGCUCUUGAAGUACACGCCUUGACAAUUGGAAUACUUCAAAUGUCUUACUGGAUCCUGAGUUUUUAAAGCAAGUCAAGCCACACUUACUAAGGACUUCAAUAUUGUUGUUUGGAUACCUGCACAUCCUUCAUGUUCUACCUUUAAGCUACACUGGUGCAGGUAACAUGUAUUUGUGUUCAUGUUUGAUUUCUAAAGGUACUGCAAGUGAGUCAUUUGGCAGAAAUAGAGAGAUAGAUAUUUAUAAAAAGAACAGGAGGUUUAUAAGAUCUCAGGGUGUUUCUGUAUCUUCCAGUCAUUUUAGAUCUCCCCUAAAGAACCUCUAUUCAGUUCUUGAGAUUGAGAUUGCUGGAUAAACAGCAAUUACAAUAUGCGCAAUAAUAAAAAGAGAGAAGAGGCAAUUUUGAGUAACUGGCCACAAACAGAGAGAAGGCUAGUGUAUUGCAAACACACUAUAAGCACAUUGUGAUUUUCUUGCCAUGGAGUCAACUAUGCAUUAGUCCUGGUCUAGAUUACAGUGGUACCAGAACAGGUUUUACUGAUAUUGAAUGAAUAUAGCAUGCUUCUUUCCUCCAUAGCUGGCGCACAAUAUCCUUCAAAAGUAACACCUUAUUUCUACAACAUGCAGCAUAUGUUAUGUCAAAU